rnacentral:rRNA from 1 species
UCUAGCUUGCUAGAUGCUGACGAGUGGCGCACGGGUGCGUAACGCGUAUACAAUCUACCUUUAACUGAGGGAUAGCCCAGAGAAAUUUGGAUUAAUACCUCAUAGUAUUAUAAUUAGGCAUCUUUUUAUAAUUAAAACUUCGGUGGUUAAAGAUGAGUAUGCGUACUAUUAGCUAGUUGGUAAGGUAAAAGCUUACCAAGGCAACGAUAGUUAGGGGGCCUGAAAGGGUGAUCCCCCACACUGGUACUGAGACACGGACCAGACUCCUACGGGAGGCAGCAGUGAGGAAUAUUGCACAAUGGAGGAAACUCUGAUGCAGCCAUGCCGCGUGCAGGAAGAAUGCCCUAUGGGUUGUAAACUGCUUUUAUACAAGAAGAAACCUCGGUACGUGUACCGACUUGACGGUAUUGUAUGAAUAAGCACCGGCUAACUCCGUGCCAGCAGCCGCGGUAAUACGGAGGGUGCAAGCGUUAUCCGGAUUUAUUAGGUUUAAAGGGUCCGC